CGGCACUAUGAAAGGAGAGAAGGUUAGCACUCCCUUUGAUAAGGAUGGAAGGGGACAAGUGACCUUUCCACAAGCAAAUGGUUAAGCAUUACUAUCUACUUAGUGACAUCUAACCAUGUAAAAAA